UCGAGGAUCUUCGGCAAUGGGCGCAAGCCUGACCGAGCGACGCCGCGUGUGCGACGAAGGCCUUCGGGUUGUAAAGCACUGUCGAGGGGGAGGAAGCCGAAAGGUUGACCUAUCCCUGGAGGAAGCACGGGCUAAGUUCGUGCCAGCAGCCGCGGUAAGACGAACCGUGCGAACGUUGUUCGGAAUCACUGGGCUUAAAGGGCGCGUAGGCGGGCCGAAAAGUCAGGGGUGAAAUCCUCCAGCUUAACUGGAGAACAGCCUUUGAUACUGGCGGCCUCGAGGAAGGUAGGGGCAUGCGGAACUGAUGGUGGAGCGGUGAAAUGUGUUGAUAUCAUCAGGAACUCCGGUGGCGAAAGCGGCGUGCUGGACCUUUUCUGACGCUGAGGCGCGAAAGCCAGGGGAGCAAACGG
rnacentral:rRNA from 1 species